UACAGAGGUCCCAAGCGUUGUUCGGAUUCACUGGGCGUAAAGGGUGCGUAGGCGGUCGGGUAAGUCUGAUGUGAAAUCUCACAGCUUAACUGUGAAACUGCAUUGGAUACUAUUCGGCUUGAGAGUUGGAGGGGGGACUGGAAUUCUUGGUGUAGCAGUGAAAUGCGUAGAUAUCAAGAGGAACACCAGUGGCGAAGGCGAGUCCCUGGACAACUUCUGACGCCGAGGCACGAAAGCUAGGGGAGCAAACAGG
rnacentral:rRNA from 1 species